rnacentral:rRNA from 1 species
CCUACGGGAGGCAGCAGUGAGGAAUAUUGGUCAAUGGACGAGAGUCUGAACCAGUCAAGUAGCGUGAAGGAUGACUGCCCUAUGGGUUGUAAACUUCUUUUAUAUGGGAAUAAAAUGUUCCACGUGUGGGAUUUUGUAUGUACCAUAUGAAUAAGGAUCGGCUAACUCCGUGCCAGCAGCCGCGGUACUACGGAGGGUCCGAGCGUUAUCCGGAUUUAUUGGGUUUAAAGGGAGCGUAGGUGGUUUGUUAAGUCAGUUGUGAAAGUUUGCGGCUCAACCGUAAGAUUGCAGUUGAAACUGGCAGUCGUGAGUACAGUAGAGGUGGGCGGAAUUCGUGGUGUAGCGGUGAAAUGCUUAGAUAUCACGAAGAACUCCGAUUGCGAAGGCAGCUCACUGGACUGCAACUGACACUGAGGCUCGAAAGUGUGGGUAUCAAACAGGAUUAGAUACCCCUGUAGUC